GUACUUUGGCAGCACAUAUACUGAAGUUGGAACAAUGUACAGAAGAGUAGUGUGGCCCCUGCACGAGGAUGACACAGAAAUUUGUGAAGCCUUCUAUAUCUAA